rnacentral:rRNA from 1 species
GUGAAAUGCGUAGAUAUCCGGAGGAACACCAAAGGCGAAGGCACUGUCCUGGCUCUAUCCUGACGCUCGGGGGCGAAAGCCAGGGGAGCGAACGGGAUUAGAUACCCCGGUAGUCCUGGCUGUAAACGAUGACCACUAGACGUUCGGGGUAUCGACCCCCUGAGUGUCGUAGUUAACACGAGAAGUGGUCCGCCUGGGGAGUACGGUCGCAAGAUUAAAACUCAAAGGAAUUGACGGGGACCCGCACAAGCAGCGGAGCGUGUGGUUUAAUUCGAUGCAACGCGAAGAACCUUACCAGGAUUUGACAUGGACAGGACCAUCCGAGAGAUCGGACUCCCUUCGGGGCUUGUUCACAGGUGCUGCAUGGCUGUCGUCAGCUCGUGCCGUGAGGUGUUGGGUUAAGUCCCGCAACGAGCGCAACCCUCAUGGCUAGUUGGAUAUGUCUAGCCAGACUGCCGCGAUCAACGUGGAGGAAGGUGGGGAUGACGUCAAGUCAGCACGGCCCUUACAUCCUGGGCGACACACACGCUACAAUGGUGAGCACAACGAGUGGCCAACCCGCGAGGGGGAGCUAAUCUUCUCAAAGCUCAUCUCAGUUCAGAUUGCAGGCUGCAACCCGCCUGCAUGAAGCUGGAGUUGCUAGUAACCGUGAGUCAGCACAUCACGGUGAAUACGUUCCCGGGUCUUGUACACACCGCCCGUCACACCACGAAAGUCGACAACCCCUGAAGCCGCCAGGCUAACCCGCAUGUCGGGAGGCAAGCGUCGAGGGUGGGGUCGGUGAUUGGGGUGAAGUCGUAACAAGGUAACCGU